CCUANGGGAGGCAGCAGUCGAGAGGCUUCGGCAAUGGGGGAAACCCUGACCGAGCGACGCCGCGUGGGCGAUGAAGGCCGUUAGGUUGUAAAGCCCUGUCAUGCGGGGCGAAUUCAGGAGGGUGAACAAUCCUUCUGUUUGACGGUACCGCAAGAGGAAGCUCCGGCUAACUCCGUGCCAGCAGCCGCGGUAAUACGGGGGGAGCGAACGUUGUUCGGAAUCACUGGGCGUAAAGGGCGUGCAGGCGGCUCGGUAAGUGGAAGGUGAAAUGCCCUGGCUCAACCAGGGAACUGCCUUCCAGACUGCCGAGCUUGAGUGCGGGAGAGGAUGGGAGAAUUCCCGGUGUAGCGGUGGAAUGCAUUGAUAUCGGGAGGAAUACCGGUGGCGAAGGCGGCCCUCUGGACGGAUACUGACGCUGAGACGCGAAAGCGUGGGGAGCAAACAGGAUUAGAUACCCCUNUANUC
rnacentral:rRNA from 1 species